GUGUAGAUAUUACCAUAGUAUUACCCUGUUAUUACUGAGCUGUAUGAUGUGGUACCACAGUUACAUUGUGCUAUUCAGUUAAUUGUCUAUUGAUUACAUUUGCUGUAUCAUAGUAAAAUGUACGUUAUAUAUUAUGAAGUUAUAUUUCCAUAGAACGACACAGUAACUGAAUAGAGUAUAACAUUUUAAUGACUGUUAAAUGGUUGUGUGACGUAUGUUGCAGGUAAAAGAGAGAGGGACAAGAACAUUCUAAGAGAAGCUCCAGGACAAAGUGAAAGUGAUUGGCGUGGAGACAGGAUAAAACGCCAUGAGAAGUAGGAGUGUGGGAGAGAGAGAGGGACUGCUGACUGAGACACUGGAUCCUGGAGAGGAAUUUCUGGAGUGAAGCCUGAUUUAAAGUUUUGUCUCUGUUGUGCGUGUGCACUGUUCUUUAUGUUAUUGAAGCUCAAUAAAAGACUCAGUCAGCAGUCAAAGCCGA